UAGACACCGCUGGUUAUUGUAACAGAGGAAAGACAGGGUCUCACAGAGGCUACUCCAUCCCACUGUUAUUUGUAUUUCUGAUUCAUCACUUAUAACUAUUAGCAUGACGCUAUUCAAACACACAAAAAAGCCAGGAAACACAGGAUUAUCCUAUGCAUGUGAGGCAGAGAGCAAGAAAUAUCUGGCAAAUAUUACUUAUUAUGACCACAUUUGCCCAGAUAGAAAGCAAUCACGGUAUUCCCUAGAGUUAUGGAGGGGCCUAUUUUUCUGGGCACAUUUGUGUGACAUAUAUGGACAUACUCGGCUGUUCCUUAGCAAAGAAGAAUAACUGAUAAUAUACAAGGUGUGCUGUAUACAAGGGAAGCAAACGCUCGUCACCAUGUUUUCUCAUCAAGCAACAGGAACCAUCAUUCUGUAGAAACAAAGGCACCGACAAAACAUUUCCAACCAUUAAAAUAAUUUUCCAACAUGGUUUCAGUAAUUAGUGUAUUUCAUUUUCAACAACUAUAAUUAAACCUGA
rnacentral:lncRNA from 1 species